GGACAACAACUGAGAAGGAUGCACCUUGGUACAUGGUGACGCACAACAGCAGAGGUCCACUUCAGUUCCCACCCUCUAGUGUAGCUAGCAAAAGCAGGGUGUUGGAGCAUUUAUCAAGUGAAGAAAAGCUGAUGAAGCUGGGUUUGUCCAUCCUGGAGAAGCGAUGGCUUUGUGAGGACUCUCAGCAUCCUCCAGUUCCUAGCUGGAAGCCACCAGGAACACAGAACUGAGCUCUUCAUAGUGAUGUACGGCAGGACAAGAGAAAAUGGGCAUAAAUUGAAGCAAGAACUGUUCAGACUAGACAUAAGUUUUAUUUUUCCUCAUGAAGACAGUACAGCAUUGGAAGAAGUUAUCCAGAGAGCCUGUGCAGUAUCUUUCCACCCUUGGAUGUUUUCAGUACCCAACUACAUAAAUAAAUCCCUGAACCAGU